rnacentral:rRNA from 1 species
UAUAUGGUCAAGAAGAGAAGCGCAAACGGUGGAUGCCUUGGCAGUAAGAGGCGAAGAAGGACGUGGAAUCCUGCGAAAAGCUAUGGGGAGCUGGAAACGAGCGUUGAGCCAUAGAUGUCCGAAUGGGGGAACCCGGCUGCAGCGAUGCGGUCAUUUGCAUUUGAAUACAUAGGAUGCAAAGGCGAACUCGGGGAACUGAAACAUCUAAGUACCCGAAGGAAAAGAAAUCAAGAGAGAUUCUCCAAGUAGCGGCGAGCGAACGGGGAGGAGCCUGGCGUGAUUUA